GCAUAUGUAGUAUAUUAAUUACAUCUAGCUUCCAAUUAGAAAAUCUACUUAAAUUUAGUAGUAUAUGAA
rnacentral:tRNA from 1 species